rnacentral:rRNA from 1 species
AUGGCGUGCAAGUGUGGCUGUGGCCCACUAUCGGUGGCAGGCUGGGUGCCAAAAGCCCUUGACAGACCCUGGCCGGGAGCACCUGGAACUCAGCUAGCUGAGAUUUAUCUAUGGUCUCAUUCACAUGACAUCAUCGUAUAUGUUGGCUGGAUUUUUUCCCUCUCCCCACGAUUUGCACAAGUCGUGCCAUCUUUUGGGGCUUGGUUUAUGUCUCCUGUCACUCAUGCUAAACCGUGGGAAGCGGCGAUACGCGUGCAGGAUGAAGCCAAACCGGCUGGCUGGAUAGAUCAAGUUGGAGCCAGGAGAAUUGGUCAGGUUGCAUGCAGUCGUGAAGCCGAGAGGGCUGGGAAAAACAAUGUAGUGUGUGUGUUCACCAAGGAGCAGACCCUCUUGGCAAAGCAGCGGAUGUCUUCUCUUUGGUGUAUGCGCGUGUGUGUGUGUGUGGAGUUUCACCAUGACCGUGUAGUGUGUGUUCUUGAGAGAGACAAAGAGAGAUGGAGAUUGAGUUGUGAGAGGCAGCUCAGGAGGAAGAAGAAGCGGUGCUGCAAGGAGAGAUGGCGCCAACAAUUGGUAUACAGAGCCAGGUUGAUCCGCGGCGGCGGCGGCGACGUGGUGGACUCCAUGGGAGGUGGAGGACGCCGGCGCGAGGUGAUGGCUGGCAGCGGCGCGAUGCCGCGGGCGGCCGGUUGCGGUGCGAUGCCGCGAGAUGAAGGUGGUGCGAUGAUCGGCGUCGCGAGGACGUCAUCCACGACAAGAUGGUCCGUGGUGACCGGCGCUGCGACGGCGUCGGUUGUGGCGCGACGGACUUCAUGCGAGAUGGAGGCCGACGGCGCAAGAAGGAGGAUGGUGGCCAUGCGGUGCCGCUAUGUGAAGAUGGCGGUGCGAAGCUGCCACAAGAAGAGUCGGCGUGAUGCCGACGACGGUGGUGUGAUGCCAUCGUCAUCUUGGAAAGUUGCGUCGUCCACGUCAAGAGGUGGCCGCUGCGUGCGGCAAGAGUACAUGGUGAUGGACGCGGGCGCUGCGAUGGCGUCGGUCCAGGCAAGUGAAGCCGAGAGGGCUGGGAAAAACAAUGUAGUGUGUGUGUUCACCAAGGAGCAGACCCUCUUGGCAAAGCAGCGGAUGUCUUCUCUUUGGUCUAGUAGUUGCGCCGCUGCUUGGGAGCUGCUACAUGCUCGUGCGACGUUGGGCCCCAACGAAGCUCCGCCCCUGGCGGCUAUAGAACAAUCUAAACUGCCGGAGGGUCCAUCUAUCCUCCGGCGGCGCAACUGCCGGAGUCCACGUAAAAUCUCUCCGGCUGCUGGGUUUCUCGGGCCAUCGGUGCAAGGAGGGAUGGAGGGAGCGACGAUGGGGGUAGUAGUGAGUGCGGCGGCGGCCCGGCCAAGUGGAUCGGGGCUGGCGAGAGGAGGGGCUGAGGAAGACAUUAGCGGGAAGGGGAGGCAAGAUCGAAGCUCGCAAGAUGUGAGGAACCAGGCAGAGGAUUUUGAGGAGGAAUGUGGCAAUUAUUAUGGCCCUGAUCCAGACUUGGAAGAUCAAUUCGCGGGGAUGAAGCUGCAUGGCCGGGAGGAGGAAGAGCUUGACUUCUCAGAGGAAGUGGAUGAUCUCAUUAAGGACGUGCGCUGGCUGGCUCUCUUUCGGAGCUACCGUCUAAACAAGAUACCGGUCUGGGCUAGAGUGAAGGGGUUGCCAGAUGGCCUAACAAGAAGGAGAGAGUUGGCUGAAAAAGUUGCUGCCAAGGUGGGUGAUCCACCUUUCAAUGUGAUUAUGAAUGAGGGAAGGAUAAAUCCAGCUUCUACCCUGCGAGUUAGGGUGUAUGUGGAUGUUAACAUCCCCCUGGUCCGCUUUGUGCCAAUCACAUUAAAGGAGUACAAGAGGUAUAGUGUCUACUAUGAGAAGCUCCCAGACUUUUGUUUCGCAUGCGGAAGAAUGGGCCACUUAGCUGAUGAAUGUGGUGACGGGGUGCAUGAUCCAAGGUCCUUCGAGUGGGGGGACUGGCUGCUUUGGGAGCCGGAGAUUUCAGUUGCUCAAGGCGUAGGGGGGCGUGGGAGAGGUGGUGGAGGAGGAAGAGGUAGAGGGAGGGAUGCUGGUCGAGAGUACAAAGGAGGCAUAGGAGGAAGGGGUUCGGGAGGUGGAAGAGGAGGUGAGCAUGCAGAGGAGGUUGUCGGGACAGAUGCUCAGCGUACGGAUAUGGAUGGAGUGGAUGAUGAUCAUAGGGGAAAGUCUAGCAAGGACGGAGUUGAGAAGGGAGCCCGCAAACGGCUUGUGGCAGCGGAUAGUACUGUUAAUGUUAGGGGCCAGCUGGUCCCAAAUUUAGCAGGUAGAGUGGCUGGUUCGGUUGCGAAUUAA